AUUCCAGCUCCAAUAGCGUAUAUUAAAGUUGUUGCGGUUAAAAAGCUCGUAGUUGGAUUUCUGCUAGGGACGAUCGGUCCACCCACUGGGUGUGUAUCUGUGUCGGCCUUGGCAUCUUCCUGGCGAACGCAACUGCACUUGACUGUGUGGUGCGGUAUCCAGGACUUUUACUUUGAGGAAAUUAGAGUGUUUCAAGCAGGCGCACGCCUUGAAUACAUUAGCAUGGAAUAAUAAGAUAGGACCUGAGUUCUAUUUUGUUGGUUUCGAACACCGGAGUAAUGAUUAACAGGGACAGUGAGGGGCACUCGUAUUCCGCCGAGAGAGGUGAAAUUCUCAGACCAGCGGAAGACGAACCACCGCGAAAGCAUUUGCCAGGGAUGUUUUCAUCG
rnacentral:rRNA from 1 species